rnacentral:rRNA from 1 species
GACGAACGCUGGCGGCGUGCUUAACACAUGCAAGUCGAACGCUGAAGCCUGGCUUUUGUUGGGUGGAUGAGUGGCGAACGGGUGAGUAACACGUGAGUAACCUGCCCUCUUCUUUGGGAUAACGCCCGGAAACGGGUGCUAAUACUGGAUAUUCACUUGCCUUCGCAUGGGGGUGGGUGGAAAGGGUUUUUUCUGGUGGGGGAUGGGCUCGCGGCCUAUCAGCUUGUUGGUGGGGUGAUGGCUUACCAAGGCUUUGACGGGUAGCCGGCCUGAGAGGGUGACCGGUCACAUUGGGACUGAGAUACGGCCCAGACUCCUACGGGAGGCAGCAGUGGGGAAUAUUGCACAAUGGGCGCAAGCCUGAUGCAGCGACGCCGCGUGAGGGAUGGAGGCCUUCGGGUUGUGAACCUCUUUCGCUCAUGGUCAAGCCGCAACUCAUGGUUGUGGUGAGGGUAGUGGGUAAAGAAGCGCCGGCUAACUACGUGCCAGCAGCCGCGGUAAUACGUAGGGCGCGAGCGUUGUCCGGAAUUAUUAGGCGUAAAGGGCUUGUAGGCGGUUGGUCGCGUCUGCCGUGAAAUCCUCUGGCUUAACUGGGGGCGUGCGGUGGGUACGGGCUGGCUUGAGUGCGGUAGGGGAGACUGGAACUCCUGGUGUAGCGGUGGAAUGCGCAGAUAUCAGGAAGAACACCGGUGGCGAAGGCGGGUCUCUGGGCCGUUACUGACGCUGAGGAGCGAAAGCGUGGGGAGCGAACAGG